GGGCGAUUAGCUCAGCUGGGAGAGCGCUGCGUUCGCAACGCAGAGGUCGAGGGUUCGAGUCCCUUAUCGUCCA
rnacentral:tRNA from 1 species